rnacentral:misc_RNA from 1 species
GAAGCUACCAAAUCAUAAAUCCAACCAUCAAGACAAAACAAUUACCUUAAGAGAGAGAGUGCAAUAUAAAAAAAAGUACAGAUAACAACCCACGUAAUUAGUUCUUGAAAUGAUUUAGCUUUUUGUUUCCUUAAUUGUUUCAAGUGAAAGAAAACUAAAAAGGUUGAGUAAUUAAAACUUCCCUUUAGAUUCAUGGCAGUAAAAAUCUAAACUUUGAAAAAGAAAGCACCCAAAAAGAUGUAAACAGAAGCAAGUAUUCGCAGGGAAAUUAAAGAUUAUUCGGGACAAUUAAUGGGAUAUUCAAGAAAACAA